CCGAUGCCGUUUCUGCCCCAUGC
rnacentral:misc_RNA from 1 species